UGGUCAAUCCCAUCUUGACACACGCACCGACAAGUCAAGUACUUGACUACACCCAGCAGCCUUCCGUCACUGAAUUAGAAAUUCAAGUAGUCCAGUGCCUAAGUGCAGUGAGUUGCUUGUAAGUCACCAUGGCGGUCUCAGAUCGGAGGGAUAUUUAUACCCAUAUUCCAUCGGAGCAAAUCUUGACAGCAGAAAUAGCUCCGGAGUCGGUC
rnacentral:lncRNA from 1 species